rnacentral:rRNA from 1 species
UAAUACGUAGGAGGCAAGCGUUGUCCGGAAUUACUGGGCGUAAAGGGUGUGUAGGCGGGACGGUAAGUCGGGCGUGAAAUCCCACGGCUCGACCGUGGAACUGCGCUCGAUACUGCCGACCUCGAGUACGGGAUAGGAGAGUGGAACUCACGGUGUAGCGGUAAAAUGCGUAGAUAUCGUGAGGAACACCGUUGGCGAAGGCGGCUCUCUGGCCCGAUACUGACGCUGAGACACGAAAGCCAGGGUAGCGAACGGGAUUAGAUACCCCGGUAGUCCUGGCCGUAAACGAUGGGCACUAGGUGUGGGAGGCAUCGACCCUUUCCGUGCCGAAGCUAACGCAUUAAGUGCCCCGCCUGGGGAGUACGAUCGCAAGGUUG